rnacentral:rRNA from 1 species
AUUGAACGCUGGCGGCAGGCCUAACACAUGCAAGUCGAGCGAGUGGCGGACGGGUGAGUAAUGUAUGUGGAUCUGCCUGCUGGAGGGGGAUAACUACUGGAAACUGUAGCUAAUACCGCAUACCAUCAGAUGACCCCAUAUGGGAUUAUCUUGUUGGUGAGGUAACGGCUCACCUAGGCGACGAUCCAUAGCUGGUCUGAGAGGAUGAUCAGCCACACUGGAACUGAGACACGGCCCAGACUCCUACGGGAGGGAGCAGUGGGGAAUAGUGUACAAUGGGCGCAAGCCUGAUGCAGCCAUGCCGCGUGUAUGAAGAAGGCCUUCGGGUUGUAAAGUACUUUCAGUCGGGAGGCGUUACCGACAGAAGAAGCACCGGCUAACUCCGUGCCAGCAGCCGCGGUAAUUC